rnacentral:rRNA from 12 species
UCUGACAACUAUAUUGUCCUGCCAGUGCCCGAUCCUGUUCGAUCUUGGAAGCUAAGCAGGGCUGGGCCUGGUUAGUACCUAGAUCCAGGGUCCCUUAGAC